CUGCAUGUUUUGGCCCCCAGGGGCCACUGCUGGCCUCUCUGUUUCAAUAGAGUGGACAAGAACAAACAUGCUAGAUUGACAUGUGUAACACAUGGGAGUUAUCAGGGCCACCAGUCUUUGAAGGACAGACUGAGUCGGUAGUAUAAUACUCCAACAUUC